CGCUGGCGGCGUGCCUAAUACAUGCAAGUCGAACGCACUCUCGUUUAGAUUGAAGGAGCUUGCUCCUGAUUGAUAAACAUUGAGUGAGUGGCGGACGGGUGAGUAACACGUGGGUAACCUGCCCUAAAGUGGGGGAUAACAUUUGGAAACAGAUGCUAAUACCGCAUAAAACCUAACACCGCAUGGUGUAGGGUUGAAAGAUGGUUUCGGCUAUCACUUUAGGAUGGACCCGCGGUGCAUUAGUUAGUUGGUGAGGUAAAGGCUCACCAAGACCGUGAUGCAUAGCCGACCUGAGAGGGUAAUCGGCCACACUGGGACUGAGACACGGCCCAGACUCCUACGGGAGGCAGCAGUAGGGAAUCUUCCACAAUGGACGAAAGUCUGAUGGAGCAACGCCGCGUGAGUGAAGAAGGUUUUCGGAUCGUAAAACUCUGUUGUUGGAGAAGAAUGUAUCUGAUAGUAACUGAUCAGGUAGUGACGGUAUCCAACCAGAAAGCCACGGCUAACUACGUG
rnacentral:rRNA from 1 species